CUUGAACGCUGGCGGCAGGCCUAACACAUGCAAGUCGAACGAGUGGCGGACGGGUGAGGAAUGUAUGGGAAACUGCCCGAUGGAGGGGGAUAACUACUGGAAACGGUAGCUAAUACCGAAUACCAUCGGAUGUGCCCAGAUGGGCAUAGCUUGUAGGUGAGGUAACGGCUCACCUAGGCGACGAUCCGUAGCUGGGCUGGGAGGAUGACCAGGCAAAUUGGGACGGAGACACGGUCCAGCCUCCUACGUGAGGCAGCAUCGGGGUAUAUGGCACAAUCGGCGCACGCCUGAUGACGCUAUGCCGUGUGGAUGGCGCAGGCCUUCGGGUUUGUCAGUACUUGCAGCGGCGCUGCGUUACCCGCAGAUGAAGCACCGUCUAACUCCGUGCCAGCAGCCGCGGUAAUUC
rnacentral:rRNA from 1 species